rnacentral:rRNA from 1 species
UGGGGAAUAUUGCACAAUGGAGGGAACUCUGAUGCAGCAACGCCGCGUGCGGGAUGACGGCCUUCGGGUUGUAAACCGCUUUCAGCCAUGACGAAGCUUUUGUGACGGUAGUGGUAGAAGAAGCACCGGCUAACUACGUGCCAGCAGCCGCGGUGAUACGUAGGGUGCGAGCGUUGUCCGGAAUUAUUGGGCGUAAAGAGCUUGUAGGCGGUUUGUCGCGUCGAUAGUGUAAACACGCAGCUUAACUGUGUGCCUGCUGUCGAUACGGGCUGACUAGAGGAGGGUAGGGGAGAAGGGAAUUCCCGGUGGAGCGGUGGAAUGCGCAGAUAUCGGGAGGAACACCAGUGGCGAAGGCGGUUCUCUGGACCUUUCCUGACGCUGAGAAGCGAAAGCGUGGGUAGCAAACAGG